UGCAAUAAUGAAGCAAAAUAAUAAUAAAUAGAGACCUUUGCCAUGAUAAAAUGGUCCUGAGAAAAAGGCCGAUGGAGUACCGACAAUGAUAAUGUUCUUGUUGAGUAUAUUCAGCAAAAUGGUCAUGGUAGCUCGCCUGCUCUUCUGAAACUGGGGGUCUCCCUUUAUAGCUACUGAGGAGAAUUGCUUAUGAGAUCAAGGAUUUCUAGAACAUAUCUGAAGAAAAAUCUACAGUUAAUGGAAGUGUUAUGUGUUCAAUGUCAAACUGAUUAGUGUUGCAACUUGAGCAAAAUGAUGAAACUGGGCUUAGGGUCAACUCGGGACUUGUAUCUCCAUGGAAAGGCAUUCCCUAGAUCAUGAUCUAGUCCAUGGGGGGUUCUCAUUAUUGUUAUUGUUAGUCACAGUACAAAAUUACAAGACUGGAAGCUGAAGCAAGGCUGCGCAAAGAUUCUAUCGUACCAUCUCCAUGUUCCUCUUCUAACAAUCAGUUGAUGGGAAAUGGUAAUGCACAGGAGAAAUCCAAAGGUAUCCUUUCUGAAGGUUGUGCCUUCUUGUGAGUUUGAAAUCCUCAAUAAAAUAUCAAUAGAUGCGUUGGAAUUGGCCUCUGCAUUAUCAUUUCUCAUUAAUUUAUUGUUACAAGAUGAAGAUGAACACAACAGAAUUGAACCUAUGGGUAGCCUUGCUUCAGCGUCAAUCCAUGCAAUUUCUCACUGUGACAUGUGCCUCAGCGUCAAGCCAUGCAAUUUCUCACUGUGACUGAGAUACAAGAAGAUCAUUAAUAAUAAGAAUAAUGAGAAACCCCAUGGCUUAGAUCAAGAUCUAGGGAAUGCCUCUUCAUGGACUAAUACAAGUCCCUAGUUAACCUUACGCCCAGUUUCAUCACUUUCUCAAGUUGUAACACUAAUCAGCUUGACAUUGAUCACCCAAAAGGUUUUAUGCUAGUUUGAUUGGAAUUGCCAUAUUGCAUGAUUGUUCCUCUGAUGAUGCAUAUGAUCAUGAGUCAAAAAGAAUAAAGACUCAUCUAAUUUUGUUUACUAACCCAUGAUCAUGAUGCUAUUCAUAAACAUGACAUAGAGAGCUUUCCAAACUUGCUUCUGGAUUUCCUUGAUAACAAUAAUGCUAAUAACACAACAUCAGCUGCAUGGUGACAGAUUUAAGCACAAAUUAUCAGCAACAACUGGCUUCAGCAUGGCUAUAAUUACGCUUGAUAAGGUCAAGGAGUACCGGGACAAUGUACCCGGAGUUCAUGUGUAAACAUCAUUUGGAGUCACUUGAUAGAAAGCCAUCCUAAACCACCAGUGUUUGUAACAAUUAUCUGCCAAUGUCAGGUUUCUAUCAAAUAUGCUGUACCACAUAUUGUUCGAUAAUCAAAAGUAAUGUUUAUCA